rnacentral:rRNA from 1 species
UUAAGCGACUAAGCGUACACGGUGGAUGCCCUGGCAGUCAGAGGCGAUGAAGGACGUGCUAAUCUGCGAUAAGCGUCGGUAAGGUGAUAUGAACCGUUAUAACCGGCGAUUUCCGAAUGGGGAAACCCAGUGUGUUUCGACACACUAUCAUUAACUGAAUCCAUAGGUUAAUGAGGCGAACCGGGGGAACUGAAACAUCUAAGUACCCCGAGGAAAAGAAAUCAACCGAGAUUCCCCCAGUAGCGGCGAGCGAACGGGGAGCAGCCCAGAGUCUGAAUCAGUGUGUGUGUUAGUGGAAGCGUCUGGAAAGGCGCGCGAUACAGGGUGACAGCCCCGUACACAAAAAUGCACAUGCUGUGAGCUCGAUGAGUAGGGCGGGACACGUGGUAUCCUGUCUGAAUAUGGGGGGACCAUCCUCCAAGGCUAAAUACUCCUGACUGACCGAUAGUGAACCAGUACCGUGAGGGAAAGGCGAAAAGAACCCCGGCGAGGGGAGUGAAAAAGAACCUGAAACCGUGUACGUACAAGCAGUGGGAGCCUCUUUUAUGGGGUGACUGCGUACCUUUUGUAUAAUGGGUCAGCGACUUAUAUUCUGUAGCAAGGUUAACCGAAUAGGGGAGCCGAAGGGAAACCGAGUCUUAACUGGGCGUUAAGUUGCAGGGUAUAGACCCGAAACCCGGUGAUCUAGCCAUGGGCAGGUUGAAGGUUGGGUAACACUAACUGGAGGACCGAACCGACUAAUGUUGAAAAAUUAGCGGAUGACUUGUGGCUGGGGGUGAAAGGCCAAUCAAACCGGGAGAUAGCUGGUUCUCCCCGAAAGCUAUUUAGGUAGCGCCUCGUGAAUUCAUCUCCGGGGGUAGAGCACUGUUUCGGCAAGGGGGUCAUCCCGACUUACCAACCCGAUGCAAACUGCGAAUACCGGAGAAUGUUAUCACGGGAGACACACGGCGGGUGCUAACGUCCGUCGUGAAGAGGGAAACAACCCAGACCGCCAGCUAAGGUCCCAAAGUCAUGGUUAAGUGGGAAACGAUGUGGGAAGGCCCAGACAGCCAGGAUGUUGGCUUAGAAGCAGCCAUCAUUUAAAGAAAGCGUAAUAGCUCACUGGUCGAGUCGGCCUGCGCGGAAGAUGUAACGGGGCUAAACCAUGCACCGAAGCUGCGGCAGCGACGCUUAUGCGUUGUUGGGUAGGGGAGCGUUCUGUAAGCCUGUGAAGGUGUGCUGUGAGGCAUGCUGGAGGUAUCAGAAGUGCGAAUGCUGACAUAAGUAACGAUAAAGCGGGUGAAAAGCCCGCUCGCCGGAAGACCAAGGGUUCCUGUCCAACGUUAAUCGGGGCAGGGUGAGUCGACCCCUAAGGCGAGGCCGAAAGGCGUAGUCGAUGGGAAACAGGUUAAUAUUCCUGUACUUGGUGUUACUGCGAAGGGGGGACGGAGAAGGCUAUGUUGGCCGGGCGACGGUUGUCCCGGUUUAAGCGUGUAGGCUGGUUUUCCAGGCAAAUCCGGAAAAUCAAGGCUGAGGCGUGAUGACGAGGCACUACGGUGCUGAAGCAACAAAUGCCCUGCUUCCAGGAAAAGCCUCUAAGCAUCAGGUAACAUCAAAUCGUACCCCAAACCGACACAGGUGGUCAGGUAGAGAAUACCAAGGCGCUUGAGAGAACUCGGGUGAAGGAACUAGGCAAAAUGGUGCCGUAACUUCGGGAGAAGGCACGCUGAUAUGUAGGUGAAGCGACUUGCUCGUGGAGCUGAAAUCAGUCGAAGAUACCAGCUGGCUGCAACUGUUUAUUAAAAACACAGCACUGUGCAAACACGAAAGUGGACGUAUACGGUGUGACGCCUGCCCGGUGCCGGAAGGUUAAUUGAUGGGGUUAGCGGCAACGCGAAGCUCUUGAUCGAAGCCCCGGUAAACGGCGGCCGUAACUAUAACGGUCCUAAGGUAGCGAAAUUCCUUGUCGGGUAAGUUCCGACCUGCACGAAUGGCGUAAUGAUGGCCAGGCUGUCUCCACCCGAGACUCAGUGAAAUUGAACUCGCUGUGAAGAUGCAGUGUACCCGCGGCAAGACGGAAAGACCCCGUGAACCUUUACUAUAGCUUGACACUGAACAUUGAGCCUUGAUGUGUAGGAUAGGUGGGAGGCUUUGAAGUGUGGACGCCAGUCUGCAUGGAGCCGACCUUGAAAUACCACCCUUUAAUGUUUGAUGUUCUAACGUUGGCCCGUAAUCCGGGUUGCGGACAGUGUCUGGUGGGUAGUUUGACUGGGGCGGUCUCCUCCUAAAGAGUAACGGAGGAGCACGAAGGUUGGCUAAUCCUGGUCGGACAUCAGGAGGUUAGUGCAAUGGCAUAAGCCAGCUUGACUGCGAGCGUGACGGCGCGAGCAGGUGCGAAAGCAGGUCAUAGUGAUCCGGUGGUUCUGAAUGGAAGGGCCAUCGCUCAACGGAUAAAAGGUACUCCGGGGAUAACAGGCUGAUACCGCCCAAGAGUUCAUAUCGACGGCGGUGUUUGGCACCUCGAUGUCGGCUCAUCACAUCCUGGGGCUG